AUGGUCAGUGAAGCUCUUGUGCAAAUUUUAAGUGGGAUCAAGACUGUUAUACAGUGUAUUUCCACCAUGUUUAGGGGCAUUGAAGGGGACACAGGCAUCACUGAAACAGCGAAACUUGGUGGCACUGUAUUGGAUGAGGUUACUGACUGGAUUAGAUUCCCAGUGGCUUACUUAUUCCACUUAUUUGAAGAUAUCCUGGAUGUAGCAAUCAUUUAUCCAGCAGACACUGCCAGUGAAGCAGCUCUGCAAAUUUUAAGUGGGAUCAAGACCAUUUCUUCAGCCAUAUUCGGGAACCUUGAAGCUUGGUUUCCCAAAAUGAGCACUGAUCCUGCGGAGCUGGCUGAAAUAGUUGUAGAGGAGGCCACAGAAGUAAAGACCACUGUUUCUAAUUACCUAUCCAGUCUGUUUGCAGCGGAUGAAGGUGGUAUUCCUGACCUUAGCUUUGAUCCCAUGAAAGUUGUCACAGACACUGUUGAAGAGUUUGCUGACAGGAGGGAUAUGUUCUUGGCUUAUCUCUCAAACAUGCUCAUGGAAGACAAAGGUAUUCAUCCUAUCAAGUAUAUCACAAAUGUAUGCUUGUAUAUUAAAAUAGUUAUUUUUUAA
rnacentral:lncRNA from 1 species